rnacentral:rRNA from 1 species
UUAAGCGACUAAGCGUACACGGUGGAUGCCCUGGCAGUCAGAGGCGAUGAAGGACGUGCUAAUCUGCGAAAAGCGUCGGUAAGGUGAUAUGAACCGUUACAGCCGGCGAUGUCCGAAUGGGGAAACCCAGUGCAAUUCGUUGCACUAUCGUUAAAUGAAUACAUAGGCAAACGAGGCGAACCGGGGGAACUGAAACAUCUAAGUACCCCGAGGAAAAGAAAUCAACCGAGAUUCCCCCAGUAGCGGCGAGCGAACGGGGAGCAGCCCGGAGUCUGAAUCAGCUUGUGUGUUAGUGGAAGCGUCUGGAAAGUCGCAGGGUACAGGGUGAUACUCCCGUACACUAAAACACACAGGCUGUGAACUCGAAGAGUAGGGCGGGACACGUGGUAUCCUGUCUGAAUAUGGGGGGACCAUCCUCCAAGGCUAAAUACUCCUGACUGACCGAUAGUGAACCAGUACCGUGAGGGAAAGGCGAAAAGAACCCCGGCGAGGGGAGUGAAAAAGAACCUGAAACCGUGUACGUACAAGCAGUAGGAGCCCACUAGUUGGGUGACUGCGUACCUUUUGUAUAAUGGGUCAGCGACUUAUAUUCUGUAGCAAGGUUAACCGUAUAGGGGAGCCGCAGGGAAACCGAGUCUUAACUGGGCGUUAAGUUGCAGGGUAUAGACCCGAAACCCGGUGAUCUAGCCAUGGGCAGGUUGAAGGUUGGGUAACACUAACUGGAGGACCGAACCGACUAAUGUUGAAAAAUUAGCGGAUGACUUGUGGCUGGGGGUGAAAGGCCAAUCAAACCGGGAGAUAGCUGGUUCUCCCCGAAAGCUAUUUAGGUAGCGCCUCGUGAACUCAUCUUCGGGGGUAGAGCACUGUUUCGGCUAGGGGGUCAUCCCGACUUACCAACCCGAUGCAAACUACGAAUACCGAAGAAUGUUAUCACGGGAGACACACGGCGGGUGCUAACGUCCGUCGUGAAGAGGGAAACAACCCAGACCGCCAGCUAAGGUCCCAAAGUCAUGGUUAAGUGGGAAACGAUGUGGGAAGGCCCAGACAGCCAGGAUGUUGGCUUAGAAGCAGCCAUCAUUUAAAGAAAGCGUAAUAGCUCACUGGUCGAGUCGGCCUGCGCGGAAGAUGUAACGGGGCUAAACCAUGCACCGAAGCUGCGGCAGCGACACUAUGUGUUGUUGGGUAGGGGAGCGUUCUGUAAGCCGUUGAAGGUGGCCUGUGAGGGUUGCUGGAGGUAUCAGAAGUGCGAAUGCUGACAUAAGUAACGAUAAUGCGGGUGAAAAACCCGCACGCCGGAAGACCAAGGGUUCCUGUCCAACGUUAAUCGGGGCAGGGUGAGUCGACCCCUAAGGCGAGGCCGAAAGGCGUAGUCGAUGGGAAACAGGUUAAUAUUCCUGUACUUGGUGUUACUGCGAAGGGGGGACGGAGAAGGCUAUGUUGGCCGGGCGACGGUUGUCCCGGUUUAAGCAUGUAGGCGGAUGUUCCAGGUAAAUCCGGAACGUCACUAACGCUGAGGUGUGAUGACGAGGCACUACGGUGCUGAAGUGACAAAUGCCCUGCUUCCAGGAAAAGCCUCUAAGCAUCAGGUAACAUCAAAUCGUACCCCAAACCGACACAGGUGGUCAGGUAGAGAAUACCAAGGCGCUUGAGAGAACUCGGGUGAAGGAACUAGGCAAAAUGGUGCCGUAACUUCGGGAGAAGGCACGCUGAUGGUAAGUGAAGUGACUUGCUCACGGAGCUGAAAUCAGUCGAAGAUACCAGCUGGCUGCAACUGUUUAUUAAAAACACAGCACUGUGCAAACACGAAAGUGGACGUAUACGGUGUGACGCCUGCCCGGUGCCGGAAGGUUAAUUGAUGGGGUUAUCCUCACGGAGAAGCUCUUGAUCGAAGCCCCGGUAAACGGCGGCCGUAACUAUAACGGUCCUAAGGUAGCGAAAUUCCUUGUCGGGUAAGUUCCGACCUGCACGAAUGGCGUAAUGAUGGCCAGGCUGUCUCCACCCGAGACUCAGUGAAAUUGAACUCGCUGUGAAGAUGCAGUGUACCCGCGGCAAGACGGAAAGACCCCGUGAACCUUUACUAUAGCUUGACACUGAACACUGGUCCUUGAUGUGUAGGAUAGGUGGGAGGCUUUGAAGUGUGGACGCCAGUCUGCAUGGAGCCAUCCUUGAAAUACCACCCUUUAAUGGCUGGGGUUCUAACGUGGGCCCCUAAUCCGGGUUGCGGACAGUGUCUGGUGGGUAGUUUGACUGGGGCGGUCUCCUCCUAAAGAGUAACGGAGGAGCACGAAGGUCAGCUAAUCCUGGUCGGACAUCAGGAGGUUAGUGCAAUGGCAUAAGCUGGCUUGACUGCGAGCGUGACGGCGCGAGCAGGUGCGAAAGCAGGUCAUAGUGAUCCGGUGGUUCUGAAUGGAAGGGCCAUCGCUCAACGGAUAAAAGGUACUCCGGGGAUAACAGGCUGAUACCGCCCAAGAGUUCAUAUCGACGGCGGUGUUUGGCACCUCGAUGUCGGCUCAUCACAUCCUGGGGCUGAAGUAGGUCCCAAGGGUAUGGCUGUUCGCCAUUUAAAGUGGUACGCGAGCUGGGUUUAGAACGUCGUGAGACAGUUCGGUCCCUAUCUGCCGUGGGCGCUGGAGAAUUGAGGGGGGCUGCUCCUAGUACGAGAGGACCGGAGUGGACGCAUCACUGGUGUUCGGGUUGUCAUGCCAAUGGCAUUGCCCGGUAGCUAAAUGCGGAAGAGAUAAGUGCUGAAAGCAUCUAAGCACGAAACUUGCCCCGAGAUGAGUUCUCCCUGACUCCUUGAGAGUCCUGAAGGAACGUUGAAGACGACGACGUUGAUAGGCCGGGUGUGUAAGCGCAGCGAUGCGUUGAGCUAACCGGUACUAAUGAACCGUGAGGCUUAACCUU